rnacentral:tRNA from 1 species
GCCGGAUUAGCUCAGUUGGUAGAGCACCCGCCUUGUAAGCGGAAGGUCGAGAGUUCAAGUCCCUCAUCCGGCA